ensembl:lncRNA
GCUCGAUGGCGUUCCGAAACUGCUCUCAGUAUCAAGGCCUGCUGUGACUGUAUUUGCUCUGAGAUGGAUAGGGCAAGUGUACGCUCAUGCGGAAAUACACAGACCUUUGAAGUGGCCCUCUGUCACCACAUGGCAGAUCCCCCUAGUGUGAUCCCUCUGUCCAUUUGGCCAAAGGACCAACAUUGGAUGGUAGCAAACACCCAUCUGUGCAGUUACCAGUGCCACUUUCCUGUGUUGGAUGGGCUUUGCACUCAGAUCAAAUAUAUCCUUCCUCACUAAAGACGUAGCAAAAAAAAAACUGCAAAGAAGGUGCAGCGUAUUUCCUCCUUCGGGUCCUUGGUCCUGAUUCUGUGAUUGUUGUCGCUGUAGUUGUAGCUGUGCCUGCGCAGCUCCAUCCUGUGAAGGUCCUUGUGGGUUGGGAAGAGCAGGGGAGCAGUCACACAGGGGGAUGGUGGGAUGGCGGACAAGGGGCUGAAGGGACGGGAGGCAGGCAGGCAGGUGUCACGCAUGCAGUCAGGGGAAAGAGGAGAGGGUAGCAGGAAAAACAAAAAAACAAAACUAAAUUCUACCCAGUCACCACAAAAUAGAAAAAUCCAUUUGGAUCUGCUCAAGACAAAACCGAAAAAGA